GCUUCUCCCCAGCCCCGGUAUCCCAGUACUUGACAGGGAUACUUUGGGCUCUAAUGUUUGGCUGAUAGUCUCAUUCUGGACCAGUCUUUAAAGGAGGGAAAGCACCAGGGAUUAAGAGGCAGAAAGACUGUAAUCCCUAGAGUAUUCUGUACUGUUACAUGGCUUGUGUUUAUUGCCUCUUUAGAGCUGGCUACUGUGCAGAUAAUCGAGCUUCCUGGAGGCGCCUGGGUUGUGUCCAGGUGUUUAUCACUGGGACUAUCAAAGCACUCAAACGGUACCUUUGAAGCACCGUGCACUAGACAGUUACGAACAGAGAUGUCACCAAUCAGCGGUCCUGAAAAGCUGGCUUCUGGAAGAAGUGGGAAGGAACCAGACUAGAUAUCAACGAGGAACUUUCUUACGUCACUGGAAUCCCGAACCCACCUCGAGCGAGUGACGCAGCUUUCUGACUGUGUCUCUUCAUGAGUAUGUUCCAGGUCACCUAUGGGCCACGCCCACGGCCAAUGGCUCCUUCCAUCAAGGACACACAAAUUUCCUCCGUGGAGUUUAUGUUCUACUUCGGCACAAAAUUCAGGGAAAUAGUCACUAAGGUAUCAAUGCUGCAGAGGUGUACAGCUGCAUAAAAUUAAUAGAAGAUGCAUUCAAGCCCAGCUCCUAUACCACCAGCCUUAGGUGAGAGAAUGUCCCUGAGACUAUGGACUGUAGUCUGAGCUCUCCAGAGUGGGAAUGCCAGUCAUCUGAAGAUUGCCGUAUAGGAAUUAUCAAAUGUGGUCAUCGCCCAGUAUUGCAGAAGAUUGUUCCAGGAUCUGAAAUCUGCUAAUGAACGGGACCACUUAUAUAAAAUGGUGUAGUAUUUCAUCUGUAGCCUGUUUAAUCUCCCUAUGUAGUUUAAAUCAUCUCUAAUUUCUUACAUGAUACCUACUACAAUGUAACUCUUACAUCAAUGAUUGUUAUGCUAUACUGUUUAAGAAAGGAUGAUUCAUGGCCUAUAUAGUCUAUGCAGUUAAUGUUUGGAUGAUUCUGUGGAUGUAGCAUCUGUUGACAUAUCAACUGUUGCAGCUUAUCUGUACAGGUGAUACACUUUAUAGUGUCAAUCCAACCUACCUACCUACCUACCUACCUACCUACCUAUGUGUUUUCUUAUGCAUACAAAUCCCCAUUUAAUAUAUAGAGAACAGGUAGUUGAAAAUUAACCACAAUAAAAAUAAAAUGAGGAGUGUAAGUUUUAUUUG
rnacentral:lncRNA from 1 species